AUCCAGCUGACGAGUCACAAAUAGAACUAAACGUGCGUCCUGGAU
rnacentral:hammerhead_ribozyme from 1 species